UACAGAGGUCUCAAGCGUUGUUCGGAUUCAUUGGGCGUAAAGGGUGCGUAGGCGGCGCGGUAAGUCGGGUGUGAAAUUCGAGGCUUAACUCCGAAACUGCAUUCGAUACUGCCGUGCUUGAGGACUGGAGAGGAGACUGGAAUUUACGGUGUAGCAGUGAAAUGCGUAGAUAUCGUAAGGAAGACCAGUGGCGAAGGCGGGUCUCUGGACAGUUCCUGACACUGAGGCACGAAGGCCAGGGGAGCAAACGGG
rnacentral:rRNA from 1 species